rnacentral:rRNA from 1 species
CCUUCCGUAGGUGAACCUGCGGAAGGAUCAUUAAAGAUUGACCGAAAGGCUUAUCUCUAUAUCCCUCACCUCUGUGAACUGUGGACCUCCGGGUCUAUUUAACAAAAUCAGGAAUGAACGUAUAUAUCAUUAAACAAAACAAAACUUCAACAACGGAUCUCUUGGCUCUCGCAUCGAUGAAGAACGCAGCGAAAUGCGAUAAGUAAUGUGAAUUGCAGAAUUCAGUGAAUCAUCGAAUCUUUGAACGCACCUUGCGCCUUUUGGUAUUCCGAAAGGCAUGCCUGUUUGAGUGUCAUGAAAUCUCAAUCCCCCUGGGUUUAUGAUCUGGGUCGGACUUGGAAAUGGGCGUCUGCCGGUCACACGGCUCGCCUCAAAUGACUUAGUGGAUCUCUCUGCAUCCGUGACAGACGUAAUAAGUUUCGUCUUGUCCCUUGCUUAUGAGUCUGCUCAUAACCUGCCAUCGCGCACUUUUAGACUCUGACCUCAAAUCAGGUAGGACUACCCGCUGAACUUAAGCAUAUCAAUAAGCGGAGGAA